GGAAGUUUGCCCACAACUGUUAAAUUACUUUAGCCUCCACUACAAGAUGACUGGUUACUGAAAAUAAUCCCAGGGAAUGGUGCACAGGAGUCAUUCAAGAGAUUCUAGGAACAAAUUAACAUAAUGAAAUGUUGAUGACAUAUGUGGGCCUGGAUGGAAGAGCUAAGUUAUCGAGUGACAUCUUGUUCUGCGUGUUUCUCUCAUAAACAUAAAUAUAAAGGUGUUUUUCGUUUGGCCCAUCUCCUAGAGGAUAUGAGUCUCUUUUCAGUGUAUACCUGAGGAACAAGUAUCUCCUGAUGAGUUGCCUGGUUUUAUGUGAAUUCCUUUGCUCACAUGCCCUGCUGACAUACUGAGGAAGGUUUUUUGAAGUAUGUUUCUCAGAUAAACUCAGGGAUUAUACCCCAGGAAUGUACCACAGGGCAGAUAAAACUAUCAUGAGGAAAGGAACAUUUCAGGUGCUUGUGCAAUUUAUUUUUUAACUGCACUGAGAUUAUCUUUACAGCUGCAUCUGCAGGAAUUUAUCAGCCUCCUUACAAUCUUCCUCCCUAUGUACUUAGUUGCCUCCUGAAAAAACACAUCACUUAUCAAUAAGGUGUACUCUUCCUCAGCUGCAGGAUUAUGAGCCUCUCCUUGAAAGCUGAAAGGAAUUUCUCCUGUUUCACCAAAACUGUG
ensembl:lncRNA